rnacentral:rRNA from 1 species
UACGUAGGGGGCUAGCGUUGCUCGGAAUCACUGGGCGUAAAGGGUGCGUAGGCGGGGCUUUAAGUCAGGGGUGAAAUCCUGGAGCUCAACUCCAGAACUGCCUUUGAUACUGAGGAUCUUGAGUUCGGGAGAGGUGAGUGGAACUGCGAGUGUAGAGGUGAAAUUCGUAGAUAUUCGCAAGAACACCAGUGGCGAAGGCGGCUCACUGGCCCGGUACUGACGCUGAGGUGCGAAAGCGUGGGGAGCAAACAGG